ensembl:miRNA
AGAAAUGCCUCCAUGAGAUCCAGCUGUAAGGCAUUUUCUCAUUUAGUGAUCAAUGGGGGAGAUCCUUGCACAUGGUGGGUGGGGCCAUCUCUGGGCUGGUAGCCCUG